GAUGAACGCUAGCGGCAGGCCUAAUACAUGCAAGCUGAACGGUAAAUGUUGUAGCAAUACAAUAUGAGAGUAGCGUAAGGGUGCGUAACACGUAUGCAAUCUACCCGCAACAGGAGGAUAGCUCCCCGAAAGGGGAAUUAAUACUCCAUAAGAUCACGAGAGGCAUCUGAUUGUGAAUUAAACUCCGAAGGGGUUGCGGAUGAGCAUGCGUCNGUAUUAGUUAGUUGGUGAGGUAACGGCUCACCAAGACGAUGAUCAGGU
rnacentral:rRNA from 1 species